rnacentral:piRNA from 1 species
UGAAAAGUGUCAGGAUGGCUCCCUGUGG